rnacentral:misc_RNA from 1 species
UCUCUCUCUCUCUCGCCUCACGCACCCGUUAGGGCUGUCGCGCACGCGCUUGGGGCGCACGGGCACGCAAGCAGACGCGAUCGUGUACUUCGCUGCGAUUCUUUACGUUUUUGAUUAGGAGAGGAGCGGCGAAGUGUCACGUGCCGCCCAAGAUUGAUCAGCACGCCUUGCGUAGCGGGAGAGUGUGUCCGUGUGUGGGUGUCACGGUGCAUGUCUGCCGGCAGUGUGCGGCGGCGUCAAGACUGGGCCUCUCGUGCAUGCAUUCGUACUUAAAGGCACAAAGAACGAACGCGCUGCACCAUGCAUUCUACCGCUGCCGUUCCUCGCGUCACGCACGACACGCCCGUCAUGACACACUCAAAGACGGGAACCGCAACACGGGUGCACCACUUACCGAGUCACCCCAGUGAUGGCGAUGAGGUUCUUUCCUCGCUGUGCUUCUUGCAGCGGAUGGCGAGUGUGUUCGAGCAGCAAGGCAACUACGCCGAGUGUGUCAAGAGCGUUGAGUCAGCGCUGCUACUGCGGCAGGCGAACACAGCAGCUGUAGGCAACGCCUUGGCGGAGCGACGGCGUGCACUAAAAAAUCGAGCAUCCCAGCACCGCCCUGCAAAGAUGCGGCGUGGUGCACCGAGCACCGGAGACAUAGACGACGACUACGUGCCACUCACGGACGAUGGGGACGUGGCGCUGCCCAUGAACAUUUGCCUGCAGGCACAAGAGGCGGUGCUGCGGUGCAACAGCUACGCCGUCGAGGCCCUCCAGCAUGCCCAGUACGAUAGCGCGGCGUUCUUCCUCAACCGCGCCAUGUUCCUCACCGACGGAGACGAGGACGCGCAGCAAGAAGCUUCGACGACGGAUGGCGCAGUGGGUGGCAUCACGAGUAGUAGUGGCGGCACCGUCUCUGGGCAGUGGUGGUGGCGUGCAGUGUUGCAAUCAUCUGCGCCGCAGCCCGAGUCCCAGCCAGCGGUAGCAAUCGUUGAUUCCAUCGACCUCGACGAGCUGACGAACACGCAAGACGAGGUGAAGCACGAUACGGCAGCCACGGCGGCCGCGUUUCGCGCGUGCUUUGGGCCGACGCCGCACGAUCAGCAGCUGCGCCUGUCCCUCCGCGUGGUCACACUGAACCACCUCGGCUGUCUAGAGCAACGCCGUGGGCGGCCCCGCGCCGCUGUGGUGUUUCUGCGCAUGGCGAUACAGACGCAGGCCCAGCUUGACGAAAGCCGUCGAGUUGACGGCGACGCCGUUGUCCAAGCCUUGCCGAAGGCGAGGCGUUGCCACCUCAGUAGCAACAGCAGUGGCACGGAAGGUACCGCCUCGACCUACCUGAAUCUGUGCACGGUGCUGAACGAGCUGGGGCAGCACGCGGAGGCGGCGCAGGUAUGCGAGCGAGUGAUCCCGCUGCUGCAGCAGGCACUUCUGGAGUGCUCCAGUGCCCACACGGCGGCGACAGCGGAAGACGAAGCGGAUCUGCGCACGCAGCAGCAGGCCCGCACUGCCACGAUGCUCGCAGUGGCGCUCUACAGCUUUGGUGCCUCACUGGAGCGACGCGAUGCCGCUAGCGCCAACGUCAAUGCCCAACGGUGGGCCUUCCAGGAAGCCAUCCAGGUGUGUCACCGCUACGGCCUCGUACCAGCAUGCUGCCGCACGAUUGAGCAGGUGAUGCAGGCACUCCGGCACCCGGGCGCGGCCACCGUUCCCGCGGAAAAGGGAUCGUGCACAGCCGCGCCGAGUGCGGCGGCGGGAAUGCACGGUGGCGAAGUCCGGUGGGCGGAGGAAGGAAGUCGCAGUGCGCUGCCAUUCACCGGUUCUUCGGCAGCGAAAGCCCUUGCCAGCGCCAAGGGCCGCAGCGGUGUCGAUGUUGCAGCUUCGCGUCCUCUGCCGCCGUCGAUGAACCCUUCGUCUUGGGAGGCAUCGUCGGCUGUGACGCCGAUGGCGGACGUACUGCAGUUCGGCGCACCCACCGAGCACGAGGCGCCGCUUCACUGCCCACCGCUGCAACCCGUGCAGACGGGGCCCAAGCGACUCUCUCUACCACCUACAUCAAGCACAGCUGUUCAUACUGCUUCGCUGCCAGCGCCGCAGCAGCCACCGGCGCCGUCGGCGUUUCUUCGGCCCAGCGGCCACGGCUCACCACUCCCCCCGCAGCUGCCACCGCUGGCGGCGUCGUACCCCGGUGGCCAACAGAACGCGUGGCGCGCGCCUCCCGAAGCUCCGGCGCCACGAUCACCACCUUCAGUGCUCGAGCCGCUCACCAUCAGCGACAUUAAGGUAGCAGCUACCGCGCCGCCAACCCUCGCGCUGCGACCGUCGAUGGUAGCCCCUUCGACGUCAGCCUUUCCACUGACACAGUGGCGCGGUCUGCCCCUCGCAGUCGCGAGCGGUUCUGCGUCGACCACCUCGAUGACCUCCGGCCCUGCCAAUCCCCGCACCAGCAUUGCCGCCUCAGUGCCCGCGGCCCUGCCGCGCAGUAGCCUACGCACUUCCAUCGCCGGCCUCACCACCGGAGCUGCCAAUGUUGCUGCUCGGUUUACGCCGAACCCGCCACGCGGCGGUCGGCUGCAAGCCGCGGUGAGCGACCGUCAGCGGACGCUGAAGAACGCAAAGAGGCAGCAGUCAAAAUUUCAAAAGAGCCUGGAGCGGCGGCAGCAGCUCGAGACUGCCGUAGCGGACGCCGCGCUGGCCGAGAAAGUCUUUCAACAGCUGAUCAGCGAAAAGAGUAAGACGGAAGUCGAGCGGUGCCGUCGCGCCGCCGCGCAGAUUCAACGUAUUUGGCGUGGUGUGCUGGCGCGGACGUGGGUGGCGACGCUGAUAGCCGCCGCUCUGCGACUCCAGCGCGUGGUGCGCCGCUUUCUCGUGCGUGUCCGCGUGCAGCACGCCCGCGAGGCGGAGGAGCGUGCCCGUCAGCAAGCGGAGGAGUUGGCGCGGCAGGAAGUUGCGUGUCGCGUCUUGCAAGCGCGGGCGCGCCAGUUUCUCCGCCGGCUGCAGAUUCGCCGCACGUACCGCGCAAACCAGGCGCGGCACUACUACGCAGCCCGCACUAUCCAGCGCGGCUACCGCGCCUUCUGCGAGCGGCGUGCUGCCUUCCUCGCGGCCAGAGCAGAGGCGAACCGAAGGAAGGAUGAGCAGUGGCAGUUCCGCCAAAAGGUAGCUGCCAGGCGCAUCCAGAGUUCCUACUUGGAGUACCGCAUGAAGCGGGCAGAGCUCGACGAGCACCGCGCGCGCCAGCGCCGCGUACGGGCCACCGUCCACAUCCAGGCCGUCGUUCGCGGCUACCUCACUCGCGCGUGGUAUGCCUACUAUCGCGUGUACCGCCGUGACCAGGAGGUACGUUCGGCCGCGAUGCAGAGCAAGCUGGUGAUGAUCCAGAGUGCCUGCCGUGCCAUCUGCUCCGCCUACUAUGGUCAGCAGCGCGCCUUGCAUGCUUUCUUCGCCAUGCGGGAGGCGCGCCAGCAUCGGGCGGCAACGCGGCUACAGAGUCUCUGGCGGUGCUACGUCGCCAAGAUCCGCCGCGCGCGUCUGCAGGCGGAGCAUGACUGUCUCGUGCGCCACGCAGUCCGCAUCCAACGCUGGUAUCGCAUGAGGGUGCUGCGGCGUGCGUUCCUGGUGUACAAGGCGGAGCAGCAGCGUAUCCGUGCAGCAUCGCGUGUGCAGCGCUGGCUACGUGAGUGCUGGCAGGCAGUAAAAGCACGCGAGUUUGCCGCCUACCACGCAGAACUUCUGCGUCAGCAGCAGCAGAAGCGGCUUCAGGCUCGCGCCAUCGGUGUCCUGCAGGCGUGCUGCACAGCGUGCCUCAGCGACCGACUUGUGGCUAGUGUCCGCCGCAUGUACCAGCGCCACGAUACAGUCGUGCGAGUGUGGCAGCGGGUGGGCCGCGGAUUUGCGGCACGGCGCGAGAUGGCGCUGGAACGGCGUGUCGCGUACUGGGUCGCGGUCAAAGAGCGCGAGACGGCGCGGCGCAUGGCCGCUGUGUGUGUGUUGCAGCAGGCGUGGCGCUGUGCCGCGGCAAAGGACAAGGUCCAGCGCAUGCGCCGCGAAGUGGCCGCCGCUGACGUCAUCACGCGUGCGUACCGCGUGUACAGAGCACGGGUGCAGCUUGCUGAUCUGCGCCGCGCGCGUCAGCUACACCUGGAGGACGCCGCUGCCCGCCGCAUCCAGCGUGCUUUCGCUGACUUCCUGCAUCUUCAGCGCGCGAAGGAGACGGAGGCCUACUACCGUGGCGAACACCGGAAGAAGAUGCAUCGCCUGCGCAGGCAGGAGGCAGCCAUCAUGAUCCAGUCGGUCUGGCGCGGGCACGUUACCCGCAAGGCGGUGGAGCGAGACCGAGAGGAGUUGCAAGCCUUUUCCGCUGCUGCGGUGCGCAUCCAGCGCGCGUGGCACUCGCGACGGUCGCGGCGGCAGCUGAGCCGCGAGUUGAGCCAGCGCAUCAAGGAGCGUGCUCGUGAUGCGGAGGCGGCGCUGGUGGUGCAGUGCUUCUGGCGCAAGAUUAUGGCGGGGCGGCGCGCGGCGCACCAGCGCGUCGUGACGCAGCAGCGCCUCGUGGCCGCAGUGCACGUUCAGAUGUGGUGGCGCGUGCAGCUCGCCCAGCGCGAGUUCGCGCGGCGUCGCAUCCUCCGGCGCGAGGAGGCCGCACUCGAACUGUACUACGCAAUGCAGUGGGAAGCGCACGUGUCACUGGUGAACUCUUUCGUGCGCGCGCGGCAGGCGCAGGUGCUCUCGCGCGAUCGCCUUCGCGACUGCCUCGUCGGGCAGCUGACGGAGGCAGAGCGGCACCGUUUCGCCAAUCGGCAUGCCGCCGCCACAAAGAUCCAGGCACUCUACCGCGGCCAUUACGAGCGUGUUUACGUGCGCGGGCUUGUAGCGCAGGCUCGCGAGGAGGCGCGGCGGACGGCGGUGCUGGCGGCGCGACAGCAGCGUGCUGCUUUAGCUAUUCAGUGUGCGUACCGCUGCGCAAGGUCGCGGCAGCAGCUCGCCGACCUGAAGCAAGCCGAGCUGGAGCGGGUGCUCGUGAGUCACCAAGAGUUUGCGGAGAAGGCGGACCCAGCCGAGGUGGUGAGGGAGCUCUUCUGGCUCAACACGACGUACCAGCAGCGCGAGGCUUGCAACGCGCGCCGUCGCGAGGCAGAGCAGAAGCGCGCCGCGGCCGCGUCAAUUCAGCGCGCCUAUCGCUGCUACAAGUCCCGUCAGCAGGUUUCGACAGCCGCGGACCUGCACCAGCGCGAGCGGGCCGCGCGGCUUCUGCAAGACUGCUGGCGGCACCACCGCGAUGUUCACCGUAUCAAGAAGCGCCAGCGGAGACAGGCAGCAGCCACGCGGCUGCAGUGCCACAUUCGUGGCUGGCUGGUGCGGCGAAGCUGGCCCCUGUGGCGCGCCGCCGUGGAGGCGGAGCGGCAGGAGCACGUUCUUCUGCAAGACAUGCUGGACCGUGCUGCGAUUAUCAUCCAAAGCUUUUGGCGGCGUGUGCAGGCGCAGCGGACGGCGGCGCGGCGGCGAAAGGCUCACCAGGAGCGGCACUGCAUGCUUGCGCGGCAGGAGGCCGCGACGGUCAUCCAAGAAACGUUCCGCGAGCACCAGUGCCGGCGCAUGGAGCGUACGCUACGAGGCAGACUAUAGGGCAUGCGGGUGCGGAAGCGGUGUGGUGCUGAAAAGGUGGAUGUGCGUGCGUGUCCUCUGUGUGUGGCCUCUGACGUCGCCACACCGCUCUGUUGCUGUUGUAUCCUUUUACUAGUUGACUUUGUCUCUGCGCGCAAUGUAUAGCGUCUUGGCGUUCGUUGGCCCACGUGUGUGUGUGUGUGUGUGUGUGUGUGUGUGUGUGUGGAUGCCGUCGGGCUUCUCUUUCUCCGUCCUCUCUCCCAGCCCAGCGCACCACCACCCGCGGCCGUCAUGCGUCAAGUGAUCGGUCCAACCAGGGCGGCGCUCAAUACGCUAGCGGCGAGUGUGGAGGAGGGAAAGAGAGAAAGAGACAGGAGGGAGAGAUGGUAGGGCCUGCUGUCAGUGGCAGGACAAGCGCACACGCACAACGGUAAUCCCCUCCCCUUCACUGCCUCCCUCUUUCGGUCUCUUGCUCUCGUUGGCAUGCCGUGCUCCACUGAAUAUGUUUCCCGACUGUUUUUUGUUAGACCUCUCUUUCUCUCUCUUGUGCGAUCUGUUAGGUCUGCGUCCUGUGCCCACCCGCGUGUGCCCGGUGUUGUGCAACACCGGUGCUCGGGAUGCCGACGAGUGACGCUCGUGAUGUUGGCAAUAACUUUUUGCUUUGCUUGAUAUCCUCUGAAGUGUUUUCCAUGAUGCUCGUGUACAUAGCCCCCCCCCUUCUCUUUCCUUCCCUUUCCCCUCUUGCACGUGUGUGCCGUCCACUGUCCGUCGCUCCUUUCCUUCUCCGUUUCACCUGGAGCACGGCACGCACAUGCAUCUCGAAGC